GUUUUUGUAGUUUCCGGUAUUUGCUAGAUUUUUUUUUUUUAAAUUGUGGAAUUGGUAUUUUGUUCUUUUGAUUGAUUUCAGAAUCUCAUUGAAUCCAUGUAGCUAUCUCCUUUGAUUUGUACUAAAUUUAGCUGCAUAAUUAGAAUUCUAUUUUGUUUUGGGUGCUGCUUUAUUAGAAUUCCAUUUCUGCAUCAGCGAGUCCGAAAGUCUGGUGGUAAUUCUUUAGAUACCCUUUGGAAAAAGUUUGGCUAUAUUAAAAAAAAGGGUUUAUGAGCU
rnacentral:misc_RNA from 1 species